GACGAACGCUGGCGGCGUGCUUAACACAUGCAAGUCGAACGGGAUGAUUUAGAAGCUUGCUUUCAGAGAAUCUAGUGGCAAACGGGUGAGUAACACGUAGACAACCUGCCGACAGGAUGGGGACAACAUUCCGAAAGGAAUGCUAAUACCGAAUGAAGUCAGAGAAGGGCAUCCUUUUCUGAUGAAAGAUGGCCUCUGAAUAUGCUAUCACCUGUCGAUGGGUCUGCGUCUGAUUAGCUGGUUGGUGAGGUAACGGCUCACUAAGGCGACGAUCAGUAGCCGGUCUGAGAGGAUGAACGGCCACAUUGGGACUGAGACACGGCCCAGACUCCUACGGGAGGCAGCAGUGGGGAAUCUUCCGCAAUGGGCGCAAGCCUGACGGAGCAACGCCGCGUGAGUGAAGAAGGUCUUCGGAUCGUAAAGCUCUGUUGAUGGGGACGAAUGUACGGAGUGCGAAUAGUGCUCUGUAAUGACG
rnacentral:rRNA from 1 species